GAGUUCAGCUGGCUCAACGGUUAGCGUCCCCGCUUCGGAACCGGGAGGUCGCGAGUUCUAUCCUCGGUUGUGUUCG